rfam:Candidatus Omnitrophus sp. SKK-01 SAG1114, whole genome shotgun sequence.
GGAGAGGUGGCAGAGCGGUUGAAUGCGGCGGUCUCGAAAACCGUUGUGCCUCCGGGUACCGGGAGUUCGAAUCUCCCCCUCUCCG